rnacentral:misc_RNA from 1 species
CUGAGUGCAGCAGGCGACGGCGCUGAGCGUGUGACCGCCACCUCACAGCUGACUCCCUCCUUUGCGCUUGUGGCUCUGGCUGAUUCAGGUGCGCCGGGUUGUGAUCCAACACGCCCCCCCCCCCCCUCCCACCGCCCCCUUUAUCACUGGCUAUUAUCCUGUCCUCUGACCGCCGUGCAACAUGUCCACGAGCCUCAGGCCAUCCGCGCCGCUUGCAGCGCUGCCUUCAUCGAACCUUGCUGCCUCGACGCCGCACCCGAGGAAUGGCAAUGCCACGGCAUCUCCGGCGCUGACAAUGCUCCCCACUCUUAGCCUGGAUAACGCCCUAAAAAGAACCACCGAUGACCAGGGUCGUCAGCGCGACGGCGCCGGCGCGCCGGACAACAAUACGUCGUCUGCUCACCGGCGCUCUCUCAUCGGCGUGCGCGGAAGUGUGCUUCCGGAAAAAAAAGGCGGUCUGCCCAAGACGGGCCACAUCGGCGUGUGCUACCACCAAAACGUGUACGUCUUCGGUGGGGUAAACAGCAAAGGGCAAUUCAGCAACCACGUCUUUUGCUACGAGAAGCGAACACUGCAAUGGCGCGAGAUUCGCGGUGUCGGCGUUGUGCCGCGUGGUCGUGCCAACCACGCCGCUGUUCUGAUUGGCAACAAAAUUUACAUCCACGGUGGCCACCGCCACCUCGAGGUGUUCGACGACUUCUUCGCCUACGAGAUCGAGACAGGUCGGUGGGAGAAGAUCGGCUGUGAGCGGUCGCAGGGGCCGGGACCCAUAUUUUUGCAUAGUAUGGUAUACAUCCCCCCCUUAGACAGUCUCCUUGUCCUGGGCGGCAUUCAUCAACGCGAGCAAAACAACUGCCUCGGGCACUUAUUCGAUGUUCGCAACCGCGUCUGGACCGGUGUGCCACCGCCGUCCUCUGUCGACGCCCAGCAUCUGCAAAUGGUGACGGCCGCCUAUCAUGCCCCUUCCGCGGUGGUGGUGGUUCUGGGCUUGAUGGAUGCGGACGUAAUGCAAGAGGGCGCCGUCACCACGCCACACGUGCACGUGUUCCAGCCAGCAACAUUUGUGUGGCGGCGGGUGGACACAAGCACUGCACCAAUGAGCCCGCUACCGUUUCGCAUGGAGGCGAUGUGGGAGUCGCUGUUGCAUUUCCUCAUCCCCGGCGGCGGCGGCGUGUAUGACCCGCUCCUGGAGAACUGGAUGUUUCCUCUUCCGUCGACCGAGACGGAUAGCGUUGGCGACGACGGUGCGGUGGAUCAGAGCCCCUCCACGCCGGGUUUCGGGCUGCCUCCCCUGCCGCUAAACAAGUACGGCUUUCUCGUACUGGAUCUAAGAAGCAUGUCGUGGUCGCUGGUGCCGUGCAACCUGUCGCGCAAAUUGGUAGCAGAGCUGAAUGCAGUAAACCGGGUGACGCGGGAGAAGAUGGAGCGACUUGUUCUGCGCAACAAUGCGGCCGCUGCUGCCAUCGCCUUGUCCGGGAACUCUUCGCAGAGCAAGUCGGCUGUGCAGCAGCCUGCAGAUAGCGGCGCUCUCUUGGGCAUUUCCAGCGCGUCCUUGACCCACGGCCCCAGCGGGGUCGCGUCCAGGCAUUCGUCGGUGUUCCGACAUCAGUCGUCGCAGUGGCCGCGAAACGAGUCCUCCUCCACAAAUGUGCCGUGGCCUCGCGCGACUGGAAGUCGUGCCGCCAUGGCUUCCGGCUCCAACGACGGCAAGAUGGCCGCCCUCCUCAGUUCGUCGCGUUACCGCCGCCUCUUCUUCUUCGAUGACGCACCCGAGUUCAUGCGCAAGUACACGCUCGUGGUGGUACGCGAUGAACCGACCAAAUCGGGAAAGCUACGACCUCUGCAGUAUGUCGUCUUACACGGUGGACUGACGGAGCCGAUGGACUACGCGAUGCUUAUGUUUGCACCGAUUCUUACUCGGCCGCACUCAAAUGCGGCAACGCCUACAGGCAGAGCGGGGCUGAUGGCGCGCUCGAAUUCGCUUCGCGGACGGGCCGCUGCAAGUGUGGGAAGUCGACGCGGAUCGGCGUACACCCAGAGCCGCAGUGAAGAAGACGGCGGCUACGGGGACGAUAGUUUUGACGACGUCACGUCGCUUCUGAGCAGCGGCACCUUGAUCGCGGCGUACUCGACGCAGAGUAACCAUCGCAGGACAGCGCCGCACACACCGCUGAGGGAUGCGGAAGCCCUGGCGCACUUGCGCGGCGGCAGGUACAGUGAUGAUGACGAGUACGACACCAAUGUGCACGAGCGGAUGGACAACGGCGGUGCGGCGCACAAGUCAUUUCUGCUUCCGACUCUGCAGAGCGGGCGCACGCGGCGCAAUUAUUACCGCUUCGCCCUCCAGUUUACGCCGGGAAAUAGCAUACAGAAGGAGUCACUGCUGCCGUACGCGAACAUACCUGUUGCGGUCUUGCAAACGCCGAAGGAUGUGCAGAAGUGGUCGCGCAACUACUACACCGAUCAGCGGCGGUGGCUCUCGGAGCGAAUUAAGGAGGCCAUGAUCGAGGACCGAAAGCUGAGGCGUCUUCGGCAGCUCAACAAGGCUCAAGUGGCGACGGCGUCUGGUGCCCAAGGUAACGCAGCCUGGGCUGGCUCGGCAGGGCGCGACGACAGCAGCAACAGCGAAUCGGAAUUCAUGGAUGGUCUCUACCUGGCGGAGACCUUCAUCGGCGACCCUCGCACGCAUGGCGGCGCCAAGGUGUCCAGCUUGCUUGCCUACGAGGAUCAGCUGGCGCUCGACGCUGCUGAUGCCGCAUUGACGCAGGCGGGGGCCCCAAAGAGACGGCUGCGCGACUUUUUCGAGCAGCACGGGCUCGACGCCUUCGAAGAGGCGGAUAUACAGCAACAGCACGAAAGGAUGCAGUUGCGCACGGCGCUCGCCGGCAGAGGUGCGAAGCACGAUCGACGGCGGAAGGACGCAAGGCUGAAAGAGAGGGCUGUCGUUGCCGAAGGUGCGAACGCGAAGGCAGCCAAGCGGUCGGAGACGUCACCGCUGGUAAAAAAAUCUUCCGUCUCCGACGGUUCCAUGCCUUUAGCGUCUGAAGUGCAGAUGACCGACUCAGGCUUUGAGCGAUUGCGCAUGAAGGGCUGGCAGGACGUGGGCAGAGAGCGAAUGGCAGCUGCCGUCCUUCAUGGCUCCUUCAUCAACGGGCUGGCCGGGGGAACCACAGGCAGUGAGCUGGAUUUUAGGAAGCUUGCUGCCUAUGCUUUGCUGAGAAGGGCAAUAGCACGUCUCCGAGCAGAUGGCAAUCCCUACGAGAUGCGCCGGCGCCGAGCGCAGCUCCGUUGGCGCUAUCUCCGUACUCUCGUGUGCACCGGCGAGGCGGCCUACCUGCUCUACCUUGCAAGUCAAGCAGAUUUCAAGAUGAGGGGCAUCAUGGUGACGGGCACGCAGGGCCUCAUGCUUGCCCCGGAGCUGCAUUUUCUCAGCCCGCUGCAGGCCUACCGUGUUCCUUGUAAACCAGUCCCGUACAAUGUCGCGGCGGCAUCAGCACCAGCGCCGGCGUCAUCGUCACGGUUUGCGCAGGUGACGGCGAGUGGUAUGGUGGUGUAUCACUCACUGAAGUGACACCUGGUGAAGCAGAGGUGGCUGGUGUUUGGCCACUGUGGUGGUGGCUGAAAACCGGUGGGAGCGCGGAGACGAAGCACAUCAUCUUUCAGAGGGCGAGCCCCUCCGCCCCUCUGCCUCUCCUUCUUCGCCUCAUCGCCUGCAGGAGGAGUCAUCUCCCUUAUGUAAAUGACUGGAACAUUUACGUGAAAUGCGCAUGCGUAUGCAUGUAGGUGUGCCUCUUUUGUGUGCUAUUUUUUUUUUGUAUGUGUGUGGGCUGUUCGAGGGGGAGGGAGGUAGUUUCCUUCUUUGUGUGUGUGUGUGUGUGCGGAAGCUCUUUUUUUUUCGCGUUGGGGGCGUUCGGCUUUUUGUUGUUUCCUGCUCCCCCUCUUCGCCUGCCUCCCCCCCCUCUCUCUCCCUCCUCUUUCCCUCCCUUCCCUCUUUCUAUCCGAUUCUCCCUGCUGCCUGUGUUGUGGUCCGACGCGGACAAGCGUUUCG